CCACUCAUUCACCCACUCCCCUCAGACCUCAGCUGGGACUGGAACCUAACAGUACUCUGUGUAAACUUUUAUUUUUUCAAAGAAAUUUUGACCUCAUCUCUAUCUGCUGUACAACAAAUAUACUAUAGCAACAAACAAACAAACAAAUAAACAAACUUUCUCUGGGAAAUCUGUUAUUCUUACUGUGUGAAAUCCUGUGUACUCAGCACAAUUAAGAGGUAUUAAGAAAAAAACAUUUGAUCAAAGUUUGAAUAGCAUCCUUCCUUCUCUAAAACUGAAAAUGAGAAUCCUGCUGAUUCCUAGAGGGUUAUUUUCUUCAAUAACAAGAGCUGGCUGAGGCCAUUUCUUGCCAGUGGAAUCUGUACAUAGUGGCUCAUGUCUGACUGACCUCAGGUCUUUAUUCACAUUAUCCUGGGUGAAUGUGACGGAUGAGAGAGCCCGCGUGGUUUGGCCCACCAAUAUUGUUUCUGAUGAAGGUUAACAGCAUUGGCCGCUCUAAAUCUUACACAGCAAAUUGCUGACAUCUGGUGUUUCCUCUCAAGUUUAACAGAUAUUCUACUGUAAUUCCAGUGUUUACACAAUAUAAAAACACAGACGUUGAGCUUAUGAAAGCAUUUUGUAUCCAUAACACUACUCUAGAGAACUGUUUAACAUUUCUGAAUGAUUGCAUUAAAUAAGUCUAAGUAAACUAGUAGUUAUAAAGCUAUUGGUUGCUUUAGAAAUAGUGGUCACUGAUAAGCUCAAAAUUGUUUCUUAUUAAUAGCAGCAAAAAUUUGCUUCUAAUUCUCUUAGGGGAAGGUUGUUCCUUUGUUUGACACAGAUUCACCUUAGAAAUUUACAGUAACCUUUACUGGCUCUUUUUUUUUUUUUUUUUUUGCAUUCAAUGCACCAUUGUAGUUCUGUCCUCAUAUCAUCUGGGUAUCUGUUCCUGCCACUGUCACCUGGAACCUAGGACAAGAGAAACAAAAAAGAAAGCCAAAAGAAACUGCAAGUUAAGCUCAAACUGAAUUGAAAUAGAGAUACACAGCUUUAUGGAUCUAACCACGCAGAAAUGUAUUACAUAAUCAACGCUCACAGUAUGUAUUAACACUAAAGAUAAAGCAAAAUGCAUUUGUUUUAUUUUUAAAAAUUUUUACUUAAACGUUCUAUUUUGUGUUAUUGCCAUCACAAUGAAUAUUAUUUCAUUCAAUCUAGUUGCACACAUCAAUGUCAUGGUUCAACUUCUGAAAACAUUAUUAUAAGAAAACAAAAUAACUUUUACAAUUAAAUAAAGUACAUUCUCACUCUUCAUUUAAUUACUGAAGCUAGAAAAAUCUAAAAAACCUUCCAGCUGCAAAUAGUAUGAAUUAUGUGGCUAAAAAUAUCUUGUGUUCUUUUUUCUGAAUUAUUGUACAAUAUAAAUUUUGAUUCUUAAAUAUGACUUCAGAGAAAUAGAGUUUUUUCUGCACAUGAGGUAAUUAUUUAUAAGAGAAAUAGCAAGUAUAAGAUAUGAUUGGUAAAUCUUUCAUGCCUCUGGGUUUAUUUACAAAUUAAUUCU
rnacentral:lncRNA from 1 species